CUCUACUUCCAGGACACAUCUGCCAACACCCCUGCAAGUUCAGGCUUUGAAGUGGCGCUGGCUCUCCAGGUGUUAAAGCUGUAUGUACUUGUGUUACUGACAAGCAGAAGGCAGCCAGAGUUACAGGGUUGCCGUGGCUGCAGCCUAGCGUAAA